GGGGGGACUUGUAGGACAAUGUGGAGACCCCGUAAAACGUCUCCAGGGGAUCCUGAGGACACCAUGAGGAGCUCAAGGUCACCAUGAGGAACUCAAGGUCACCAUGAGGAACUCAAGGUCUUCUUUGGGGACGCCUCGGUCACUGGGGGGACUUGUAGGACAAUGUGGAGACCCUGUAAAACAUCUCCAGGGGAUCCUGAGGACACCAUGAGGAGCUCAAGGUCACCAUGAGGAGCUCAAGGUCAUCAUGAGGAACUCAAGGUCACCAUGAGGAGCCCAAGGUCACCAUGAGGAGCCCAAGGCCACCACGUGGAGCUCAAGGUCACCAUGAGGAACUCAAGGUCUUCUCUGGGGAUGCCUUGGUCGCUGGAGGGACGUGUAGGACAAUGUGGAGACCCCAUAAAACGUCUCCGGGGCACCCCAAGGGCUUCUUUGGGGACCCCAAGGCCACCACGAGGACCCCAAGGCCACCAUGAGAUCUUCUGGGUCGUCUUUACCAGGACAAUGUGAGGACCCCGUAAAACAUCACCAGGGGACCCCAAGGACAUUGUAGGGACCCCAAGGUCACUGUGAGGGGUCUGUAGGACAACGUGGAGACCCCCUAAAACAUCUCCAGGGGACCCUGAGGCCACCACAGGGACCCCAAAGACCCCCCGUGGG